rnacentral:rRNA from 1 species
UACGUAGGGUGCAAGCGUUGUCCGGAAUUAUUGGGCGUAAAGAGCGUGUAGGCGGCCCGAUUAGUCCGCUGUGAAAGUCAGGGGCUCAACCCUUGGAAGCCGGCCGAUACUGUCGGACUAGAGUCCGGAAGAGGCGAGUGGAAUUCCCGGUGUAGCGGUGAAAUGCGCAGAUAUCGGGAGGAACACCAAUGGCGAAGGCAGCUCGCUGGGACGGUACUGACGCUGAGGCGCGAAAGCGUGGGGAGCAAACAGG